rnacentral:misc_RNA from 1 species
AAAUUACAAUCUAAAGCUAUCACAACAACUUUGUGAUACAACCAUUGUAAAAAUUUAAAUAAUUAUUACAAUCCCAUAAAAAUGAAUAAGGAAUCAAGCACAUUGGUUUUCUAAAGUCCGUGAUCAUUCUUCAUGCCAAUUUCUACAUUCAACACUUGAACAUGCUAUUUAAUUCUAAAUAUCUCAUAUUCAAAAUUAAAUAUAUUAACCAUGAAUCUCAUUCACAAUCAUGUUAUACUAAUUUUGAGACUUAGAUUAAACAUUUUAAUCACCAAGAAAA